UUUUUUUCAUAGAUUUCUAUAUUAUUAUAGUGUAGAAGAUCGUGGUUUUCUUAAUUAAUACACGAUUCAAUGAUUGUCCGUCGUUAAGAUAGUCAGACUGAUCCAGUCAUCCAGAUAAUUGAUUGAUUUUAUUAAUUUUUUGGAUGUUUCACGCGAUUAUUGUUAGUUUCAUUUUAUAUUUUGAAUUUUUGUAUUAGUUAUUAACUAUCUACGGUGAAGUGUUAAAUUAAGUUGUAUUAAACGAUAUCAUUGCAAUUUAAUUUUAAAAAAGCUGUAUUUCUUUUCAACAAUAUGGGCAUGUUAUCUUCACUUGUUUCCUUUGGUUUGGGAGUGUAUGCAGGGUUGUAUGCAGCACAAAACUACGAAGUAGCUAAAGUUGAUGAACCUGGAGUAAUAAUAGACAAAAUGAAAAAAUAUUUAGAUGAAAUAAUGAAGCCCAAACCAUAAAUUACCUACAAUU